rnacentral:rRNA from 1 species
CCUACGUGAGGCUGCAGUCGAGAAUCAUUCACAAUGGGGGAAACCCUGAUGGUGCGACGCCGCGUGGGGGAAUGAAGGUCUUCGGGUUGUAAACCCCUGUCAUGUGGGAGCAAAUUAAAAAGAUAGUACCACAAGAGGAAGAGACGGCUAACUCUGUGCCAGCAGCCGCGGUAAUACAGAGGUCUCAAGCGUUGUUCGGAAUCACUGGGCGUAAAGCGUGCGUAGGCUGUUUCGUAAGUCGUGUGUGAAAGGCGCGGGCUCAACCCGCGGACGGCACAUGAUACUGCGAGACUAGAGUAAUGGAGGGGGAACCGGAAUGCUCGGUGUAGCAGUGAAAUGCGUAGAUAUCGAGAGGAACACUCGUGGCGAAGGCGGGUUCCUGGACAUUAACUGACGCUGAGGCACGAAGGCCAGGGGAGCGAAAGGGAUUAGAUACCCCUGUAGUC